rnacentral:rRNA from 1 species
CCUACGGGAGGCAGCAGUAGGGAAUCUUCCACAAUGGGCGAAAGCCUGAUGGAGCAACGCCGCGUGGGUGAAGAAGGUCUUCGGAUCGUAAAACCCUGUUGUUAGAGAAGAAAGUGCGUGAGAGUAACUGUUCACGUUUCGACGGUAUCUAACCAGAAAGCCACGGCUAACUACGUGACAGCAGCCUCGGUAAUACGUAGGUGGCAAGCGUUAUCCGGAUUUAUUGGGCGUAAGGGGAACGCAGGCGGUUUUUUAAGUCUGAUGUGAAAGCCUUCGGCUUAACCGGAGUAGUGCAUUGGAUACUGGGAGACUUGAGUGCAGAAGAGGAGGGUGGAACUCCAUGUGUAGCGGUGAAAUGCGUAGAUAUAUGAAAGAACACCAGUGGCGAAAGCGGCUCUCUGGUCUGUAACUGACGCUGAGGUUCGAAAGCGUGGGUAGCAAACAGGAUUAGAUACCCGGGUAGUC